rnacentral:rRNA from 1 species
UACGAAGGGGGCUAGCGUUGUUCGGAAUCACUGGGCGUAAAGGGCGCGUAGGCGGCUUUAUAAGUCGGGGGUGAAAGCCUGUGGCUCAACCACAGAAUUGCCUUCGAUACUGUAUGGCUUGAGACCGGAAGAGGUAAGUGGAACUGCGAGUGUAGAGGUGAAAUUCGUAGAUAUUCGCAAGAACACCAGUGGCGAAGGCGGACUUACUGGUCCGGUUCGUGACGCUGAGGCGCGAAAGCGUGGGGAGCAAACAGG